CUUUGAUAAAAUUCUGGUGCAGCUCCACCACUGAUUUUCCGGCAACUGGUGGUCCGGCACCUCCUUGAAUCCGGACAAAAUACGAGAGCGCAUUUGAAAUCUCCCCCGGA